rnacentral:rRNA from 1 species
UACGAAGGGGGCUAGCGUUGCUCGGAAUCACUGGGCGUAAAGCGCACGUAGGCGGAUUGUUAAGUCAGGGGUGAAAUCCUGGAGCUCAACUCCAGAACUGCCUUUGAUACUGGCGAUCUCGAGUCCGGGAGAGGUGAGUGGAACUGCGAGUGUAGAGGUGAAAUUCGUAGAUAUUCGCAAGAACACCAGUGGCGAAGGCGGCUCACUGGCCCGAUACUGACGCUGAGGCACGAAAGCGUGGGGAGCAAACAGGG